rnacentral:rRNA from 1 species
GACGAACGCUGGCGGCGUGCCUAAUACAUGCAAGUCGAGCGGACCGACGGGAGCUUGCUCCCUUAGGUCAGCGGCGGACGGGUGAGUAACACGUGGGUAACCUGCCUGUAAGACUGGGAUAACUCCGGGAAACCGGGGCUAAUACCGGAUGCUUGAUUGAACCGCAUGGUUCCAAUCAUAAAAGGUGGCUUUUAGCUACCACUUACAGAUGGACCCGCGGCGCAUUAGCUAGUUGGUGAGGUAACGGCUCACCAAGGCGACGAUGCGUAGCCGACCUGAGAGGGUGAUCGGCCACACUGGGACUGAGACACGGCCCAGACUCCUACGGGAGGCAGCAGUAGGGAAUCUUCCGCAAUGGACGAAAGUCUGACGGAGCAACGCCGCGUGAGUGAUGAAGGUUUUCGGAUCGUAAAACUCUGUUGUUAGGGAAGAACAAGUACCGUUCGAAUAGGGCGGCACCUUGACGGUACCUAACCAGAAAGCCACGGCUAACUACGUGCCAGCAGCCGCGGUAAUACGUAGGUGGCAAGCGUUGUCCGGAAUUAUUGGGCGUAAAGCGCGCGCAGGCGGUUUCUUAAGUCUGAUGUGAAAGCCCCCGGCUCAACCGGGGAGGGUCAUUGGAAACUGGGGAACUUGAGUGCAGAAGAGGAGAGUGGAAUUCCACGUGUAGCGGUGAAAUGCGUAGAGAUGUGGAGGAACACCAGUGGCGAAGGCGACUCUCUGGUCUGUAACUGACGCUGAGGCGCGAA